UGGGCAGAUGGCCAAGGUGUGGGCUCCAGG
rnacentral:piRNA from 2 species